rnacentral:rRNA from 1 species
GACGAACGCUGGCGGCGUGCUUAACGCAUGCAAGUCGAACGGAAAGGCCCUGCUUUUGUGGGGUGCUCGAGUGGCGAACGGGUGAGUAACACGUGAGUAACCUGCCCUUGACUUUGGGAUAACUUCAGGAAACUGGGGCUAAUACCGGAUAGGAGCUCCUGCUGCAUGGUGGGGGUUGGAAAGUUUCGGCGGUUGGGGAUGGACUCGCGGCUUAUCAGCUUGUUGGUGGGGUAGUGGCUUACCAAGGCUUUGACGGGUAGCCGGCCUGAGAGGGUGACCGGCCACAUUGGGACUGAGAUACGGCCCAGACUCCUACGGGAGGCAGCAGUGGGGAAUAUUGCACAAUGGGUGGAAGCCUGAUGCAGCAACGCCGCGUGCGGGAUGACGGCCUUCGGGUUGUAAACCGCUUUCGCCUGUGACGAAGCGUGAGUGACGGUAAUGGGUAAAGAAGCACCGGCUAACUACGUG